CGGAGAGGUUUUUGGGGAAAGAAACUGAUAUGUUGGGGAGUAAUUUUGCGCUGCUGCCGUUUGGUUCGGGGCGGAGGAGAUGCCCCGGGUACAACCUCGGACUGAAGAUGGUACGAACAAUGUUGGCUAAUUUGCUGCAUGGAUUUGAGUUUCAAUUGGCCGAAGAUGUAUGCUUGGAGGAGAUGUACGGGCUUACUACACAUCCUAAAAAACCUCUUGUUGUAGUUAUGGAACCAACACUUCCAUCCCAGCUUUACUGAUUUUGUCUGUGUUCAGGAAUUAAAUAAAUUUUGUGUAAAUUGUAAUCAAGAUGAUCUUGAUACAAAUUGCAUUAUAAAAUAAAGAGCGUGUUUUCGGUUAUUGUUUGAUAUUUUUUGUCAUGUGUAACUAGGGACUAAAAUUGGAACGGAAUUUCCAAAUUUUCGUUGAUUUUUCGAUUCAAAUUUUGGGUGAUAUUUUCAGGGUGGGAACAUAAUAAAUUAAAAGGAAAUUAUAAAUAAUUUUUAAAAUAUAUUUUUUUUUCAGAAAAAGGAAAGAGUAAACAAAAUUGAACUAGAAUACUUCUUUAAAUGUGGACCUCUUUUCCCAAUAUUUGUCUAUUUUUUGUUAUAUUAUUACUCUCCUUUUUUCUAACUUUUGUAGUCAAUGUUAUGUUAAGUUGAACUUUGCAUGCAAAAACUCUCCUAGUGGUCCUCAUCUCCAUUAUGCACAAAUUUGAAUUUCAUCGGUUUUAUUUGUUGACUAGCAAUAUACUUAUUAUACGAUGGUCUUCUCUUCAUUUAUUUGAUAAUUGGAGGAUUAAAGGCAAAAGUGCAUGGAAGGUUGUCAAUUUUAUACAUGAUUGAAUUAAAAAAAAUUGAUUAUUUUUUAGGGUAUCAAACUGCCAAGCUCCAUAUAAAUCUGGAUAUAUAUAUAUAAGUUCCUCUUAAGCAGUAUUAAUUACUGCUAAGGAGAAUAUAUACUCAAGUAAAGCAGAAAGAUAGAAAUAAAAGGUAAAUAAAAUUGAAAGAUAAAUACAGUAAGAAUAUCAGCUCAGUCUUUCAAUUUUUUACACCAGAGAUUCACACUUUCCACAAUACACCACCAGAGUACCACAAGAAGAACAUAUCUUCUUUCUCUCUCAACACAAACCCUAGUUUCACCCUGAAUUCCACAAAGGAAAGAACAGAUCAAGCACUCAAGCUUACCCACUCACCAAAACCCAAUUUCAGAACUCACAAAUAGAAAAACAGAGAGAUUUAGGUCGAGUCUAGGGUAGAAUAUGUGUCUUAUCCUCUUCCAACCUCCAUGCCAGUAUUUAUAGAGAGAGACAUAAGUCAAAUAGAGCCAAAGUCUGUGCUGGAGAGUCAAAGUCAGCCAUGUACCGUGCUCUUUGACCUCCAGCCAUGACAGAGUCAAGGCAGUACAAGGGAGGAAGAAGACAGAAGCAGGAGCGACGGAGAAAAAGGGGAAAGAGCUAGGGUUUCAGAAUGAGGGUAAAGAAGAGAGAGAAGAGAGUAUUUAAGUGAGGGAAUCAACGGUCCAGAUUCAGCCAGAAAUCCAACGGAUGAAUUUGGCUCAGAUAUGAAUUUGGGCUCACUUAUUAACUCUAGGGCUUAACUCAAUGGUUGUGUAUAUAAAAUAGAGCAAUUGGGCUUUUUGGCACAAUACAUAUUUGGGCAAAAAACCAACAAUUUUCAACCUGUAAUUAAAUUUUUUUUAAAUUGAAUUCACCUUUGAAAGACUAAAAAAUAGGAAUCUCCAAUGGGACCUGAUGACAGAAGAGAAAGUCUAAACAUUAAUAAACAUCUAACUAAUAACAUGCAACUGACAUAUCUUUUAAUAGUAAAACAAAGAAACAAAAAGAAAAGGAAAAUUGUACACUUACGUCAAAAUAUGUUUAGCUUAUGACAAGUACAUUUCAUGCAAGCUGUGAUAUAUUGUGGUGAUCAUUGAAUAUCCACAUGCCAAUAUUUGCACCAAAUUUCUUCACAAUAUUGCACCAAACCCUUUCAUUCUAAAAUGAGCUUCAACUAUAUAAGUACACCCUACUCCCCAAACAAAUUCUCAGAAACAACCAAAUGGAUUACUCAAUACUCUUAGCCUUAGUAUAUGCAGCUGCAUUAAUAGCCUUCAUCUCAAAACUAAUCUUCGCUCGAUGUUAAGUGUAUAUUUUUACACAUAAUCAUACAUUCUAAUUGGGACUUUUGGGUGUGUUUUAACGAUAAUUGGUGCUUAAAAUGGUUAUUAUUUGUAUUUUAGGUACAAAUUGAAGAAUUGGCAACAUAUGGGGUAAAAAAUGCAAUUUCGGAGAAAAAGUGGGCCAAAAGUAAAAAAAUCACAACUCUGAAGAAUUAAAGACCGGACGGCCGUCCGGAUUUCAGAACUAAUUCUCGCACGGCCGUCCGGGUAUCCGAGGUGGCGCUGUGAAGGAAGUUUAAUUACACAAGGAAACAACCCUCUUAUAUUUUUGCACCAUAUUUAAAGGCCAAAAAGCACACAAUUAGGAAUCGAUCUUUACACACGCAAUCUAGGAGCAAGAGAACAGAGCAACGAAGACGAAGACUUGACGAAUCUUCAUCAUAGUUCUUCAUUUACUUUUAUUUCUGGAUUUUUAUGAACUUUCGUAUUUUUAUUAUGUUUUUCGUUAAGAACAUGAGUAGCUAAGUUUUUAUUCUAGGAUUUUGUUGGAACCCUAUGUGGUGAUUCGAACCUAUUUUUCUAAUAUUAUGCAAGUUUAAAUUCUUUGAUUAUUUCUCCUAUUUGAUCUUAUUUAGCGCAUGAAAGUAGCUAAUUUAUGUUGCUAUAUGUUAUUGUUAGAAUUGAUUGACAGAUCGUUUUAAUAAUUAGAACAAGGAUAGAAGAGCCUUCGAGUAGUUUUCACCGGAUGAGUGUGUUAAUUGCAUGUAUUAUCGUAGACAUACAUAUAAUACCUUAGGUAGCCGUUUACGAGACUUGUUAUUUUAAGAGUAAAAAGCAGUUUGCCCCCUAAACUAUGGGCCGAUUUGCACUUUACCCCCCAAACAAAAAAAAUUUGCACGUUUUUACCUGAACUCGUUAAUUCGUUACACGGUGCCCCCUGAACUCAAUUUUCCGGCAAUUUUGACCGGAAAGUUAAAACAUGUGUCUUGCACGUGACAUUUACAGGGGUAUCUUCGUACAUUCACUUAUCAACAGGAGAUGCUUUUACAUGCAUAUAUUAAAUAUUAAUAAAUUAAUCCUCAACCAAGCUCUUACCUUUUAAAAAAAAAAAAUUGAAACCCUAAAACUCGGUUAAAUCAUCCAACUCAGUAAUUUCUAGAAACAAAACUAACACCCACACAAAUAUCACAAGACGAAAUACUCAGAGAAACCAAUCAUCUGCAGGAAAUGGGCAAAUCCACAACUAAAACCACAAAAAAUGCAAAUCUCGAUUCCGAUUAUUCAACCCUGGAGCAGAAGCGAACAAGAAUCUCUGGCAAAUCAACCAAUAUUACUCAUCGAGGUGGCUGAUUAGCGAUUACAACAACUCCACGAACAGCAAAGUACUCUAAUUUUUUUUGGCGACGGAUCAUAUGAAAUUCAAAAUCAAACACAAAAAGAAAAUGAAAAUAAAAAAACCAGAAUUGAGGAAGAAAUAGGAACGGAUUGAGCUAUAUUAGGAUAUUAUCAGAGCUAGUGUUUGGAGAUGGGUAGAUUUUUCAACCCCACAAGCGCCUUAAAUUCCAAAACACCAGUCCGAUCUUUUGAUUUCUUGAGAUAGUCCAUUUCUCCGCCAUUGAUGUCCAUUGUUGCCUUUGCGUUUUCAGGGAGUUCGUCGAGUUUCGGGAGUGGGAUUUUGACGAAAUUAAUGGAGGAAGCGAAAAGCUCCUGUUUUUUACUAUGUGCAGGCUGCGCUUCUGUUCUUUGACGGCCGCCAUUGAUGGGUUUCGAAGAAAAGCUUGAACAAGACGAAUAGCUUCUUUUUCCUUUAUUUAUUUAUUCUUUUUCUUUUUUUUUUUUUCCUUUUUUUUUAAUAUUUAUUUGUAUUUAAUAUUAAAGAUGCAAGUGAAUGGACGAAUUUACCCCUCAAAAUCUCACGUGCAAAGCACAUGUUUUCACAUUCCGGUUAAAAUUGCCGGAAAAUUGAGUUUAGGGGGCACCGUGCAACGAAUUAACGAGUUCAGGUAAAAACGUGCAAAUUUUUUUUGUUUGGGGGGUAAAGUGCAAAUCGGCCCAUAGUUGAGGGGGCAAACUGCUUUUUACUCUUAUUUUAAUGCUUUACUCAUACUAGGUUUGCAUAGACAUAUAGUGAAUCGUUUAUGAAUAAUAGACUUAUAAUACACGCGACAGCGGGUUAUGAGUAAUUUCGUGUCUUGGGUUAAUAAUCGGGAAUCGUAACUUGCAUGAUAGAGGUUUAACUGGGUGAUGAAUUACCGCAUAGGGGAAAGAUAAAAUCCUAGAUCCGUUUUAUAUUGAUAUUUUCUCGUGAUUAUUUGCUUUCUUAAUUAGUUUAAUUGUUUAAUUGAUUUAAAUUGACAAACUUGCGUAGGCUGAAUAAAAAUCAUAAUUGUUAGAAUUUGGUAAUUAUGAUUAGAUAAUUUGAGUAUUCCCUGUGGGAUCGACAUCCGACUCACACGAGUCCACUUUUACUACUUGUUUGCGAUACGUGCACUUGCGUGUUAGGUAUUUAGCAGCCCAACAAGUUUUUGGCGCCGUUGCCGGGGAAUACGGCUAAAUUAUUUAUUUAUCCUAAUAUUAAAUUCGAGCAAUUUUUCUUACUUCAGCCAUUUUAUUUAUUUUAUUUAAUUAUUUUAUUUUUAUUAUUUUGUUUUAGGUACCUUUUAUGCGAAGAGGACACGACACGAGCUUGCUACCUCUCGACCCCGAAAUUGAGCGAACGUUUAGGCAAGCCAGGAGAAAUCAACGGUUAGCUCAAAACGCUCCCGCAACAAUGGAAGAAGAGAUUAAUCGUGGGGGAGAUAACCAAAGGCGUCCACCGAAUGCGGCUGGAGAAAUCGUCAACGAGCAAGAGCAACGCCAGCUAAUUAAUCCACUACCUCGUCAACGGGCAUUGCAUGAGUACACCGUUCCAACACUCAAUGGGUUUCAAUCAAGCAUCCAGCAGCCCCCCAUUGAAGCCAACAAUUUCGAAAUUCGAGCAGGAGUCCUCACUAUGCUCCAAAACAAUGGGUUAUUCAGCGGAUUGGCUCACGAAGAUCCACAUCUCCACUUGGUCAACUUUCUCGAAACGUGUGAUUCGCACAAUAUGAACGGAGUAACACCCGAAGCACUGCAACUCCGCUUGUUCAAGCACUCCUUACAAGGAGCAGCCCGAGAAUGGUUACAAACUCGCGCACCGCACUCCAUCUCGUCUUGGUCCCAGCUAGCACAACUUUUCAUGAACACAUACAACUCCCCAACAAAAACUGAGAGAAUCCGGAGAGAAAUUCAAAACUUCAUUCAAGAAGCCGGUGAAACAUUAUUCGAGACGUGGGAGCGGUUCAAACAGUUAAUAAGGAGGUGCGCGAACCACGGACUUCAAGAGUGGCGCCAACUGCAAAUAUUUUACGAUGGAUUGCAAGACAACUCGAGGACCGUGCUCGACUCUGCAGCUGGAGGAAUGUUCAUGAGUUUGACCUACGACGAAGCAUACGAACUCUUGGAGCGAAUCGCUGGAAAUAAAUACAUGCGGGCAUCGGAUCGGUCAAACAGCGGAGCCGCUAAAACGGGAGGAAUUUUGGAGUUAGACGGGGUCACUGCAAUCACGGCCCAAUUAGAGAAGCUAUCAAAGCAAGUAGCGGCUUUGCAGACACAGCAAGUCCAUGCAGUCCAAGCUCCCGACCAAAGCGUAGAAGAAACGGAGUCUCUAAAUUAUGUGCAUGACACCAACCGACAACAGAGGAAAUCGUACUCCAACACGUAUAAUCCGGGAUGGAAAGAUCACCCUAACUUUGGGUGGGGAGGAAAUCAGCAAGGACAAAGGCAAGCACCACCUCAAGGUCAACCUCCCAGUUAUUCCAAAAUCCGCCUCAAGCUCAACCUCAAAGUGGAGUUCUCGCAAAUAUCUUGGCGCAAUUUAUGACAACCACUCAAGCCUCCAUCCGAAAUUUGGAAACACAGAUGGGACAACUUGCAACCCAGCUAACCGCGAGGCCAUCGGGAGCACUGCCGUCGAAUACGGAAGAUCCUCGAAAGAGCAACAUCGAGCAAUGCAAUGCCGUAAGUCUAAGGAAUGGGAGACAAUUGGAGGAAGUCCCACGUCAAGAGAAGCAAAACACGGUAAUCGAGAAGCAGAGCGUGAUUGGGGAAAAAGAAGCAACUCACGAAGAACCACUAUCAUCCACAGUGAAAUCACGAGCUCCUCAAGUCCCAUAUCCUCAAAAGCUGCUAAAGAAAAAGCUCGAUGCCGAGUACCAAAUUUUGGACAAGUUGAAGGAAGUCCAUAUAAAUAUCCCGUUUAUCGAAGCCCUUCAAAAGAUGCCAAAGUGGGUGAAAUUUCUCAAGGAUCUCGUGACGAAGAGGAAGACAUUGCAAGGGAACGAGAUGAUCCAACUCACGGAGCAAUGCAGCGCAAUUCUUACACGGCCCCUUCCACAAAAACUCGGCGACCCAGGUAAGUUCACUAUUCCUUGUACUAUAGGAGGUAAAAAUUUUAGAUCACUCAUUGAUUUAGGUGCUAGCAUUAAUCUUAUGCCUUAUUCCACUUAUCAAAAUCUUGGGUUAGGUGAGAUUGAACCGACGGCUAUAACUCUCCAAUUAGCCGAUAGGUCUUUAGUUUACCCAAAAGGUAUUUUAGAGAAUGUGCUAGUACAAGUGAACAAAUUUAUCUUCCCGAUUGAUUUUGUUAUACUUGAUAUAGAUGAAGAUAGGGAGAUACCUCUUAUUUUAGGGAGACCGUUUUUAGCCACAUGUAACCGGAAGAAAACGAUGGGUAGAAGAGAACGAUUUCCCUCAAUUACCUUACAUAGAAGCAAUAAUCUUGGAGUCAAUGAGGCUUCAUCCACUUGUUACGUUAUUAGCCCCACAUUACGCCAUUGAUGACUGCAAAGUUGCAGGGUUCGACAUAUCAAAGGGAACAAUGGUACUAAUCAAUACAUGGUCCAUAGGGAGGGACCCUAAAUUAUGGGAUUCGCCGGAAGAAUUCUUACCGGAGAGGUUUUUGGGCAAAGAAACUGAUAUGUUGGGGAGUAAUUUUGCGCUGCUGCCGUUUGGUUUGGGGCGGAGGAGAUGCCCUGGGUACAACCUCGGACUGAAGAUGGUUCGAACAACGUUGGCUAAUUUGCUGCAUGGAUUUGAGUAUAAAUUGGCCGAAGAUGUAUGCUUGGAGGAAAUGUACGGACUCACCACACAUCCUAAAAAGCCUCUUGUUGUGGUUAUGGAACCGACACUUGCAUCCCAUCUUUACUGAUUCAGU
rnacentral:lncRNA from 1 species